GGCGCAUGGGGCAGGCAUCCGCCCCGUAGGAUGCGGUAAUGUGCGCCGGAAUAUCGGUCAUGGCUUCAAACCCCAUAUGCGUCC
rnacentral:tRNA from 1 species